rnacentral:pre_miRNA from 13 species
CUGCGUUUCCCCUCCGCCUUCUCUUCCCGGUUCUUCCCGGAGUCGGGAAAAGCUGGGUUGAGAGGGCGAAAAAGCUGGCUUG